rnacentral:snoRNA from 1 species
UGCAAUGAUGGUGUAAUUUGCGUCUUACCUGUUAUUCAGUGACGGUUGCCUGCUGUCAUUAAGCUGGUGCCGAGGGCUGACGAUAAAACAAGUCUGAGCAUU